GGAAAUACUGUUCCUUACUCCUAUAGAAUGCAGAAAGGUUGGGAGGAGGCUUCGUGAUCGUUUUCUUCUUAGUGGUUGCAGCGAUUGGAUCAGAGCUUGAAGCGUCUUUGUUGGGGUUUGGACUUGGAGGAACGGCGGUGAUCGGUGUCACUAAAAGAGGACGUCCUUGCUCAGAAUCUUGUGAGGCCAUUGUUAACGAUUUACAGACAAGGGAAAGAGAGCUCGGGAGAUAGUAAGAAAGCUCAAAGGUUCAAAAUUCAAAUUGGCACGUAAAACUGUCA
rnacentral:lncRNA from 1 species